CAGGACGAACGCUGGCGGCGUGCCUAACACAUGCAAGUCGAGCGGAGAUAAAGAGAAGCUUGCUUUCUUAUCUUAGCGGCGGACGGGUGAGUAACGCGUGGGCAAUCUACCUUUUACUGGGGGAUAACACAAGGAAACUUGUGCUAAUACCGCAUGAAACCUUAAGAUGGCAUCAUCCAAAGGUCAAAGGAGAAAUCCGGUAAUAGAUGAGCCCGCGUCCGAUUAGCUAGUUGGUGAGGUAAUGGCUCACCAAGGCAACGAUCGGUAGCCGAACUGAGAGGUUGAUCGGCCACAUUGGGACUGAGACACGGCCCAGACUCCUACGGGAGGCAGCAGUGGGGGAUAUUGCGCAAUGGGGGGAAAAACCCCUGACGCAGCAACGCCGCGUGAAGGAAGAAGGCCUUCGGGUUGUAAACUUCUUUGAUUAGGGACGAAUAAAUGACUGUACCUAAAGAACAAGCCACGGCUAACUACGUGCCAGCAGCUGC
rnacentral:rRNA from 1 species